AUUGAACGCUGGCGGCAGGCCUAACACAUGCAAGUCGAGCGAGCGGCGGACGGGUGAGUAAUGUAUGGGGACUGCCCGAUAGAGGGGGAUAACUACUGGAAACGGUGGCUAAUACCGCAUACUAUCGGAUAACCCAUAUGGGAUUAGCUAGUAGGUGGGGUAAAGGCUCACCUAGGCCACGAUCCCUAGCUGGUCUGAGAGGAGGAACAGCCACACUGGGACUGAGACACGGCCCAGACUCCGACGGAGGCAGCAGUGGGGAAUAUUGCACAAGGGGCGAAAGCCUGAUGCAGCCAUGCCGCGUGUAUGAUGAAGGCCUUAGGUUUGUAAAGUACUGUCGGCAGAGAAGCGUUACCUGCAGAAGAAGCACCGGCUAACUCCGUGCCAGCAGCCGCGGUAAUAC
rnacentral:rRNA from 1 species